GGGGUGGUGGCGCAGUUGAUUAGCGCGUAGGUCUCAUAACUGCUUGAGGAAUCCCGAGGUCGAGAGUUCGAGCCUCUCUCACCUUA
rfam:Picea glauca, whole genome shotgun sequence.